AAAAAUAUAGUAUCGCUUCUUGGCCUUUUGGCCAAGAUCAAAUGUAGAUAAAAACAUUGUUAAGUCAUGAUUGCCCUGGAAUACAAUCAGUAUCCUGAGGGA
rnacentral:miRNA from 1 species